rnacentral:rRNA from 1 species
CCUACGGGAGGCAGCAGUAGGGAAUCUUCCGCAAUGGACGAAAGUCUGACGGAGCAACGCCGCGUGAGCGAUGAAGGCCUUUCGGGUCGUAAAGCUCUGUUGUUAGGGAAAGAAUAAGUGCUAGUUGAAUAAGCUGGCACCUUGACGGUACCUAACCAGAAAGCCACGGCUAACUACGUGCCAGCAGCCGCGGUAAUACGUAGGUGGCAAGCGUUGUCCGGAAUUAUUGGGCGUAAAGCGCGCGCAGGCGGUUUCUUAAGUCUGAUGUGAAAGCCCCCGGCUCAACCGGGGAGGGUCAUUGGAAACUGGGAAACUUGAGUGCAGAAGAGGAAAGUGGAAUUCCAAGUGUAGCGGUGAAAUGCGUAGAGAUUUGGAGGAACACCAGUGGCGAAGGCGACUUUUCUGGUCUGUAACUGACGCUGAGCGCGAAAGCGUGGGGAGCAACAGGAUUAGAUACCCUGGUAGUCCACGCUGUAAACGAUGAGUGCUAAGUGUUAGAGGGUUUCCGCCCUUUAGUGCUGAAGUUACGCAUUAAGCACUCCGCCUGGGGAGUACGGUCGCAAGACUGAAACUCAAAGGAAUUGACGGGGGGCCCGCACAAGUGGUGGAGCAUGUGGUUUAAUUCGAAGCAACGCGAAGAACCUUAC